UACGUAGGGGGCGAGCGUUGUCCGGAUUCAUUGGGCGUAAAGAGCUCGUAGGCGGCUUGGCAAGUCGGGUGUGAAAACUUCAGGCUCAACCUGGAGCGGCCACUCGAUACUGCCAUGGCUUGAGUCCGGUAGGGGACCACGGAAUUCCUGGUGUAGCGGUGAAAUGCGCAGAUAUCAGGAGGAACACCGGCGGCGAAGGCGGUUCUCUGGGCCUUACCUGACGCUGAGGAGCGAAAGCAUGGGGAGCAAACAGG
rnacentral:rRNA from 1 species